rnacentral:rRNA from 1 species
UGAGUAACACGUAUGCAACCUGCCUGCCACAGCCGGAUAAUCGGGAGAAAUUCCGUCUAAUACGGCAUAAUGCAUCGACGGGACAUCCUGUUGGUGCCAAAGGUUGAUUCCGGUGGCGGAUGGGCAUGUGUCGCAUUAGUUAGUUGGCGGUGUAACGGACCACCAAGACGACGAUGCGUAGGGGUUCUGAGAGGAAGGUCCCCCACACUGGUACUGAGACACGGACCAGACUCCUACGGAAGGCAGCAG